rnacentral:rRNA from 1 species
UACAGAGGGUGCGAGCGUUAAUCGGAAUUACUGGGCGUAAAGCGUGCGUAGGCGGUUGCGUAAGUCAGAUGUGAAAGCCCCGGGCUCAACCUGGGAAUUGCAUUUGAGACUGCUCUGCUCGGGUGCGGAAGAGGGAAGCGGAAUUUCCGGUGUAGCGGUGAAAUGCGUAGAUAUCGGAAGGAACACCAGUGGCGAAAGCGGCUUCCUGGUCCGACACCGACGUUCAGGCACGAAAGCGUGGGGAGCAAACAGG